rnacentral:rRNA from 1 species
CAUAGGGAGCGAGCGUUAUCCGGAUUUAUUGGGUGUAAAGGGUGCGUAGACGGGAAUACAAGUUGGUUGUGAAAGCCCUCGGCUUAACUGAGGAACUGCAACCAAAACUAUAUUUCUUGAGUAUCGGAGAGGAAAGUGGAAUUCCUAGUGUAGCGGUGAAAUGCGUAGAUAUUAGGAGGAACACCAGUGGCGAAGGCGACUUUCUGGACGAAAACUGACGUUGAGGCACGAAAGUGUGGGGAGCAAA